rnacentral:rRNA from 1 species
AAACGUAGGGGGCAAGCGUUGUCCGGAAUUACUGGGCGUAAAGAGCGUGUAGGCGGCUGAUUAAGUUAGAUGUGAAACCUGGAGGCUCAACCACCAGCUUGCAUCUAAAACUGGUCAGCUUGAGGACAGGAGAGGAGAGCGGAAUUCUCAGUGUAGCGGUGAAAUGCGUAGAUAUUGAGAGGAACACCAGUGGCGAAGGCGGCUCUCUGGCCUGUAACUGACGCUGAGGCGCGAAAGCGUGGGGAGCGAACAGGAUUAGAUACCCUGGUAGUCCACGCCGUAAACGAUGGGCACUAGGUGUAGGAGGUAUCGACCCCUUCUGUGCCGCAGCAAACGCAAUAAGUGCCCCGCCUGGGGAGUACGGCCGCAAGGCUGAA